rnacentral:rRNA from 2 species
GGGUUGUGAGGUUAAGCGACUAAGCGUACACGGUGGAUGCCCUGGCAGUCAGAGGCGAUGAAGGGCGUGCUAAUCUGCGAUAAGCGCCGGUAAGGUGAUAUGAACCGUUAUAACCGGCGAUACCCGAAUGGGGAAACCCAGUGUGACUCGUCACACUAUCAUUAACUGAAUCCAUAGGUUAAUGAGGCGAACCGGGGGAACUGAAACAUCUAAGUACCCCGAGGAAAAGAAAUCAACCGAGAUUCCCCCAGUAGCGGCGAGCGAACGGGGAGGAGCCCAGAGCCUGAAUCAGCAUGUGUGUUAGUGGAAGCGUCUGGAAAGUCGCGCGAUACAGGGUGACAGCCCCGUACACAAAAGCGCAUGUGCUGUGAGCUCGAUGAGUAGGGCGGGACACGUGGUAUCCUGUCUGAAUAUGGGGGGACCAUCCUCCAAGGCUAAAUACUCCUGACUGACCGAUAGUGAACCAGUACCGUGAGGGAAAGGCGAAAAGAACCCCGGCGAGGGGAGUGAAAAAGAACCUGAAACCGUGUACGUACAAGCAGUGGGAGCCCCACCACCAAAGCAUUCUCUGGUGUUGAAGGCCCUGCAAAGCAGCAUCGCGGUGGCGGAGCGUCGUUUGCGACGCCCAACACACAAAACAAGCGAUGAGUGCUUUGGGGUGG